rnacentral:rRNA from 1 species
GACGAACGCUGGCGGCGUGCUUAACACAUGCAAGUCGAACGAAGAGCGACGGAAGCUUGCUUCUAUCAAUCUUAGUGGCGAACGGGUGAGUAACGCGUAAUCAACCUGCCCUUCAGAGGGGGUCAACAGUUGGAAACGACUGCUAAUACCGCAUACGAUCUAACCUCGGCAUCGAGGAUAGAUGAAAGGUGGCCUCUACAUGUAAGCUAUCACUGAAGGAGGGGAUUGCGUCUGAUUAGCUAGUUGGAGGGGUAACGGCCCACCAAGGCGAUGAUCAGUAGCCGGUCUGAGAGGAUGAACGGCCACAUUGGGACUGAGACACGGCCCAGACUCCUACGGGAGGCAGCAGUGGGGAAUCUUCCGCAAUGGACGAAAGUCUGACGGAGCAACGCCGCGUGAGUGAUGACGGCCUUCGGGUUGUAAAGCUCUGUUAAUCGGGACGAAAGGCCUUCUUGCGAAUAGUGAGAAGGAUUGACGGUACCGGAAUAGAAAGCCACGGCUAACUACGUG